CUAAGGUGUUGCUAUGCGGUUGCUAGGGUACCCAGGGUGGUUGCUAAGGUGUUGCUAUGCGGUUGCUAGGGUACUCGGGGCGGUUGCUAGGGUGUUG